rnacentral:misc_RNA from 1 species
AGCUAUCCUGGCUUCUGAAAACUCCC